AUGAAAAAGAAUCCACUACCAGCGAAUUAAGUUAUGACUUAUGUACAGUAUCAUCUAUAAAUUAUACAUUUCCUCUGCCUGACAAAGGAAGACAAAAUUUUACUAAUUUCUCUUGCAAAUGUUCCUCCAAAUUCAAGCGAAAUUUAAUCAAUUUGUCCUUGGGCAAUGUGCAAUUAGUCCCACAAAUUUUAUCGUAUAAAUAUUUUUGAUAUUAUUGAUAUAUUUUUGAUAAGUUAUCGCGCUGACAGACAAACAUGCACUCGCAGAUGAAAACAUAAGCUUCUGGCGGAGAUAAUGAAAUUAGAGCUGCUCCCGAUUAAUCGAUUAUUUUUCCACAAUCGAUUAUGCUUAAUAGUAAUCCGAUCAUCUAUAACACCACACAGCGUGAUGCGG